rnacentral:rRNA from 1 species
AGUGAACGCUGGCGGUAGGCCUAACACAUGCAAGUCGAACGGCAGCACAGGAGAGCUUGCUCUCUGGGUGGCGAGUGGCGGACGGGUGAGGAAUACAUCGGAAUCUACUCUGUCGUGGGGGACAACGUAGGGAAACUUACGCUAAUACCGCAUACGACCUACGGGUGAAAGCAGGGGACCUUCGGGCCUUGCGCGAUUGAAUGAGCCGAUGUCGGAUUAGCUAGUUGGUGGGGUAAAGGCCCACCAAGGCGACGAUCCGUAGCUGGUCUGAGAGGAUGAUCAGCCACACUGGAACUGAGACACGGUCCAGACUCCUACGGGAGGCAGCAGUGGGGAAUAUUGGACAAUGGGCGCAAGCCUGAUCCAGCCAUACCGCGUGGGUGAAGAAGGCCUUCGGGUUGUAAAGCCCUUUUGUUGGGAAAGAAAUCCAGCUGGCUAAUACCCGGUUGGGAUGACGGUACCCAAAGAAUAAGCACCGGCUAACUUCGUGCCAGCAGCCGCGGUAA